GUAGCUUUGAGAAGCUGCUUUGGGAAAACACGGAGGAGCUACAGUGCAAUGUUUAAUGAAAUUUGACUUCAUGCCAAUUAUGUCCUCCUCCUUUUCUGAUAAUUACAUCGAAACAACAGAACCCUAUCUUUUCUCCAUCUCUUUGCCGUCAUUUUCAUUAUCACUCCACAUCUCUUCAUCUCCUCCUUCCUCUUCUUCAAUUCGUGGAUUCUCGCCGGCCUCACCUCCUUCAAUUCGUGAGUUUCAUCUCUUUGCCGUCAUUAUCGUUAUUAUUCCACAUCUCCUCCUUCCUCUUCUUCAAUUCGUGGAUUCUCUCUACAAUUUGGGUAUUCUGGGUUAUGCUUCUUCUCUAAAGAUAAUCUAUCAAACAGAACUCUAUUCCUCUGAUUCCUCCAUAGCUGCACAAAAAGGAGUAAGGAGAAUUCUUGUACAUCUCAACAUUGGAUAAUUCGAUCCUCAUCGAACUUCUCCUCCUUCUCUCUCUGCUAUCACUAAAAGCAUCUGUUAAUGGCAUAUUAUAUGCAGCAUCUGUUAAUGGCAUAUUAUAUGCAGCAUCUGUGUGUGAUUUUGGAGUUGUUAUGCUCGAAUUGUUAUAACCAGUUAUUGACACCAAUCGGCCAACCAGGGAACAGGAUCUAGUUGAAUGGGCCAAACCAUACCUUGCCAGCAAAUACCUCACAGAACAAAGCAUAAGGGAUGAUUUGGAAUCACUUGGUUAUGUGGUUAUGUAUUUCCUAAGAGGAAGGUAAAACUUUCCAGGUGAUGACAAACCAAGAAGUUGUGGAUGCCAUAAAAAAUAUAAAGGAUUCUCGGGCAGCAGCAAAGCACCUUACUGAAGAGCCAGUCAAUAAGAAGAGCUCGGACGAUAUUUCCUGUGUAGUUGUAAGAUUUCGGUGAAUGUAUAAUUUCUGUCUGGCAUGUUUGUUGUCUGAUUGUACCUCGUUUAACAAUGUCUCAGAUAUGUUUUUAUAAAACACCUAUGGAAUUGAAGUGUGCUUCAUCAGUGUGGUAUUCCCUUA